GCCGGAGUGGCGAAAUUGGCAGACGCAAGGGACUUAAAAUCCCUCGGGCCCAAAAGGCCCAUACCGGUUCAAUUCCGGUCUCCGGCACCA
rnacentral:tRNA from 1 species